UGACCUCAAAUCAGGUAGGACUACCCGCUGAACUUAAGCAUAUCAAUAAGCGGAGGAAAAGAAACUAACAAGGAUUCCCCUAGUAACUGCGAGUGAAGCGGGAAAAGCUCAAAUUUAAAAUCUGGCGGUCUCCGGCCGUCCGAGUUGUAAUUUAGAGAAGCGUUAUCCGUGCUGGACCGUGUAUAAGUCUCCUGGAAUGGAGCGUCAUAGAGGGUGAGAAUCCCGUCUUUGACACGGACUACCAGUGCAUUGUGAUGCGCUCUCGACGAGUCGAGUUGUUUGGGAAUGCAGCUCAAAAUGGGUGGUAAAUGCCAUCUAAAGCUAAAUAUUGGCGAGAGACCGAUAGCGAACAAGUACCGUGAGGGAAAGAUGAAAAGAACUUUGGAAAGAGAGUUAAACAGUACGUGAAAUUGUCGAAAGGGAAACGGUUGCAGUCAGUCGCGUCCGCCGGGGAUCAACCUUGCUUUUGCUUGGCGUAUUUCCCGGUGAUGGGUCAGCAUCAGUUUUGACCGCAGUUGAAAGGCUGGAGGAAUGUGGCACCUUCGGGUGUGUUAUAGCCUCCUGUCAUAU
rnacentral:ncRNA from 1 species